UUUUCAAUCAAAGCCCGCCAUUUUGUUGAGCAUGCACACGCACACAUUUGAAUUAUUUCAAUUAGAUUUUCAGUUUACAAAAGAGUAAACGAUUUUCUUUACUUUCAAAACUUUUUUCAAUUCCUUCGAAUCAAAAGGAACAGUCUUUCUCAGGACCAAAGUACAGUUGCAAAGAAUAAUGUGCUAAGUGAGCGGUAAAGAAACGGCGCCGUAAGAACAGGGCAAAAUGGUGGUUAGUUAAAUGAUAGGCUUUAGAAUUCGGUCAUUUUUACUUUUGAACCGUUCUCCGAAGCAAAAAAAAAAAAAUAACUUCGGUCGAUUUAAUGUAGAGUUUUUAUUAUGGAUCUUCUGACCCUCGGGUCUUAAGAUUUAUAGUAGAUUUUUUGAAAAGCAUAGAUAAAAAAAAAAUAAAAAAAGGCAAUAUAUGAUUUUUAACUGCACGAAAGAAGCGUGCGUUAAAAAAAAAAAAUUGAUGCCAAAAAGUAGUGUAAUGUUUUACAAGCCUAAAAAAAAAUUACAUUAAGACCUAUAAAAAGGCAUGUGAAAUGUUGCAAAAAAAAAAAAAAAAAGGGUAACGUUUUACGCGCCUUAACAAA